rnacentral:rRNA from 1 species
GAUGAACGCUAGCGGCAGGCCUAACACAUGCAAGUCGAGGGGUAGCAGGAUUAAGCUUGCUUAAUUGCUGACGACCGGCGCACGGGUGCGUAACGCGUAUGCAACCUACCUUAUACUGGGGUAUAGGCCGGAGAAAUUUGGAUUAAUCCACCAUGGUACUAAUGAAGCGCAUGGUUUAUUAGUUAACGCAUUGCGGUAUAAGAUGGGCAUGGGUCCUAUUAGCUAGAUGGUGAGGUAACGGCUCACCAUGGCUACGCUAGGUAGGGGGCCUGAGAGGGUGGUCCCCCACACUGGUACUGAGACACGGACCAGACUCCUACGGGAGGCAGCAGUGAGGAAUAUUGGUCAAUGGGCGCAAGCCUGAACCAGCCAUGCCGCGUGCAGGAAGAAUGCCCUAUGGGUUGUAAACUGCUUUUAUUUGGGAAUAAACCUCUUUACGUGUAGAGAGCUGAAGGUACCAAAUGAAUAAGCACCGGCUAACUCCGUGCCAGCCGCCGCCGUAA